rnacentral:rRNA from 1 species
GACGAACGCUGGCGGCGUGCCUAAUACAUGCAAGUAGAACGCUGAAGAGAGGAGCUUGCUCUUCUUGGAUGAGUUGCGAACGGGUGAGUAACGCGUAGGUAACCUGCCUUGUAGCGGGGGAUAACUAUUGGAAACGAUAGCUAAUACCGCAUAACAAUGGAUGACACAUGUCAUUUAUUUGAAAGGGGCAAUUGCUCCACUACAAGAUGGACCUGCGUUGUAUUAGCUAGUAGGUGAGGUAAUGGCUCACCUAGGCGACGAUACAUAGCCGACCUGAGAGGGUGAUCGGCCACACUGGGACUGAGACACGGCCCAGACUCCUACGGGAGGCAGCAGUAGGGAAUCUUCGGCAAUGGGGGCAACCCUGACCGAGCAACGCCGCGUGAGUGAAGAAGGUUUUCGGAUCGUAAAGCUCUGUUGUAAGUCAAGAACGGGUGUGAGAGUGGAAAGUUCACACUGUGACGGUAGCUUACCAGAAAGGGACGGCUAACUACGUGCCAGCAGCCGCGGUAAUACGUAGGUCCCGAGCGUUGUCCGGAUUUAUUGGGCGUAAAGCGAGCGCAGGCGGUUUGAUAAGUCUGAAGUUAAAGGGCUGUGGCUCAACCAUAGUUCGCUUUGGAAACUGUCAAACUUGAGUGCAGAAGGGGAGAGUGGAAUUCCAUGUGUAGCGGUGAAAUGCGUAGAUAUAUGGAGGAACACCGGUGGCGAAAGCGGCUCUCUGGUCUGUAACUGACGCUGAGGCUCGAAAGCGUGGGGAGCGAACAGGAUUAGAUACCCUGGUAGUCCACGCCGUAAACGAUGAGUGCUAGGUGUUGGAUCCUUUCCGGGAUUCAGUGCCGCAGCUAACGCAUUAAGCACUCCGCCUGGGGAGUACGACCGCAAGGUUGAAACUCAAAGGAAUUGACGGGGGCCCGCACAAGCGGUGGAGCAUGUGGUUUAAUUCGAAGCAACGCGAAGAACCUUACCAGGUCUUGACAUCCCGAUGCUAUUUCUAGAGAUAGAAAGUUACUUCGGUACAUCGGUGACAGGUGGUGCAUGGUUGUCGUCAGCUCGUGUCGUGAGAUGUUGGGUUAAGUCCCGCAACGAGCGCAACCCCUAUUGUUAGUUGCCAUCAUUCAGUUGGGCACUCUAGCGAGACUGCCGGUAAUAAACCGGAGGAAGGUGGGGAUGACGUCAAAUCAUCAUGCCCCUUACGACCUGGGCUACACACGUGCUACAAUGGUUGGUACAACGAGUUGCGAGUCGGUGACGGCGAGCUAAUCUCUUAAAGCCAAUCUCAGUUCGGAUUGUAGGCUGCAACUCGCCUACAUGAAGUCGGAAUCGCUAGUAAUCGCGGAUCAGCACGCCGCGGUGAAUACGUUCCCGGGCCU